CAUUUAUAGAAUUUUAAUUUUACGGUAAUUUGAUUAAAUGAUGCCUAAAUUAAAAUUGAACAAGACGCUCUCUCGAGCGUUAAGUUGCUGGGGCUUUUUAAAUAGGCGCCUGCGUGAUUUGCAACGAGCGGUAAGAGUAUAUUCAACGAUUUGCGGGCUUGAUUUGUAAUCACAUAAGUUUAUUAAAUAGUGACACGUUGCGACAUAAUGUAUACAGCAAAUUUAAUUAACUAAGGGAUGGACCAUUAGAAAAGUGAUGGGGGGGGGGGGAUUUUCUAAGAGGCAAGAUUUUUUUUUGUACACCUAUAGAAAUUUUUUUUUCUCACUUGAUGGCUGGAAAUAUAUAUUUUUUAUUAAAAUUUAUAGGUCUAUCUUCCAAGAAAGGAAUUUUUUUUGCACUAUGCCUGGGAAGAUUUUUUUUCCCUAACUUUUUCCUGGGAAUAAAUUUUUUUUUGGUUCCCCCCCCAUCACUUUUCUAAUGGUCCGUCCUAAGGUCGUCCUUUCAAUGAAGUGGAAUCUCACAAUCAGGUCCGUUGCACAAGAGUUCAUCAUAUCGCUGAACUGAAGAAUUCCUACAGGUCAUAAAAGAGAUCCACUGAAGAAUUCCUGUUAAUACCCAUGAAGAGAGACCCUGGAAGAAUUUCAAUUUUUAUAUUUGACCCCUGAGAAAAUCUCAUUCAAAAUAUCCAUUACCGGAUUACCCCCAAAGAAUUCCACACAGAAAAUAUUUGCUUAUCCCUGAGGAAUUCCAAAGCUAAAAAUUUAUCACCUCAUUCCAGCAGAAUUGAAAGCUGGAAUAGCCCAUUUUGUGCUGGCACUGUGGCACAAGUGUUCAUACUUGGGCCUUGGGCUAUAAUAACCCUUAUUCAUAUUUGAGGAUAAAUACAGAUUUGUAUAUUUUUAUUUUAACUUGUUUAUAACAAAUUUUAAAACACAAAAAUUGUUUAUCAGACAGUUAAGGACUAAGGACUCAUUUGUGAAUUAACUCAUUGAGUGACAGCACUCUCUCCCUGAUGAGUAAAAUCCUUGGCAUUAGACACAGUAAAAUAAUAAAGUAGGUCACAUGAGGGUACAUUGCCACUUAAAGGGUUAUAUGAUAUGGACAAUCGCAUAUAUUGACUAUUGGUGCGGAAUUUAGCUUUUUGCACCUAACUGAUGCAUGCGAUAGACAGUGGUUAUAUUUCUCCCCAGGGCCGUAGCAA